ACACCGGCGUCUUGGAGCUAAUGUGGGAUCUGCUCAAGGACCCACAGGUUUAGGUAAAUAUCUAACGCGUUCCCCAACUGGGGAGGUUAUCUUUGGAGGGGAAACUAUGCGUUUUUGGGACCUUCGUGCUCCAUGGUUAGAACCUCUAAGGGGCCCCAACGGUUUGGACUUGAGUAGGUUGAAAAAAGACAUACAACCUUGGCAAGAACGACGCUCAGCAGAAUAUAUGACCCACGCUCCUUUAGACUCUUUAAAUUCCGUGGGUGGCGUAGCUACCAAGAUCAAUGCAGAGAUCAGAAGAG